GACGAACGCUGGCGGCGUGCCUAAUACAUGCAAGUAGAACGCUGAAGGAGGAGCUUGCUUCUCUGGAUGAGUUGCGAACGGGUGAGUAACGCGUAGGUAACCUGCCUGGUAGCGGGGGAUAACUAUUGGAAACGAUAGCUAAUACCGCAUAAUAGUUGAUGUUGCAUGACAUUUGCUUAAAAGGUGCAAUUGCAUCACUACCAGAUGGACCUGCGUUGUAUUAGCUAGUUGGUGGGGUAACGGCUCACCAAGGCGACGAUACAUAGCCGACCUGAGAGGGUGAUCGGCCACACUGGGACUGAGACACGGCCCAGACUCCUACGGGAGGCAGCAGUAGGGAAUCUUCGGCAAUGGACGGAAGUCUGACCGAGCAACGCCGCGUGAGUGAAGAAGGUUUUCGGAUCGUAAAGCUCUGUUGUAAGAGAAGAACGAGUGUGAGAGUGGAAAGUUCACACUGUGACGGUAUCUUACCAGAAAGGGACGGCUAACUACGUG
rnacentral:rRNA from 1 species